UGUAGCCCAGGCUAACCUCAGACUUGG
rnacentral:piRNA from 1 species